rnacentral:rRNA from 1 species
GAUGAACGCUGGCGGCGUGCCUAAUACAUGCAAGUCGAGCGAACAGACGAGGAGCUUGCUCCUCUGACGUUAGCGGCGGACGUGUGAGUAACACGUGGAUAACCUACCUAUAAGACUGGGAUAACUUCGGGAAACCUGCGCUAAUACCGGAUAAUAUAUUGAACCGCAUGGUUCAAUAGUGAAAGACGGUUUUGCUGUCACUUAUAGAUGGAUCCGCGCCGCAUUAGCUAGUUGGUAAGGUAACGGCUUACCAAGGCAACGAUGCGUAGCCGACCUGAGAGGGUGAUCGGCCACACGGGAGAGGAGACACGGUCCAGACUCCUACGGGAGGCAGCAGUAGGGAAUCUUCCGCAAUGGGCGAAAGCCUGACGGAGCAACGCCGCGUGAGUGAUGAAGGUCUUCGGCUCGUAAAACUCUGUUAUUAGGGAAGAACAAAUGUGUAAGUAACUAUGAACGUCCUGACGGUACCUAAUCAGAAAGCAACGGCUAACUACGUG